rnacentral:misc_RNA from 1 species
GAUGAAGAACGCAGUGAAAUGCGAUAAGUAAUGUGAAUUGCUGAAUUCAGUGAAUCAUCGAGUUUUUGAACGCAUAUUGCGCCCUCUGGUAUUCCGGGGGGCAUGCCUGUUCGAGCGUCAUUAAAUAACCCUCAAGCAUAGCUUGGUGUUGGGCUUUUUUACGUCCUUGACUGGGAUGGGCCUAAAAAUUAGUGGCGAUGGCUUUUUUACUUUCAAGCGUAGUAAAUCUCGUCUUGCUAAAGAGGAAAAAGAUUUUUUUUCUGCCAAAAAUUUUAACAUUUAAAGUUGACCUCGGAUCAGGUAGGAUUACCCGCUGAACUUAAGCAUAUCAAUAAGCGGAGGA